CCUACGGGUGGCAGCAGUGAGGAAUAUUGGUCAAUGGCCGUAAGGCUGAACCAGCCAAGUAGCGUGAGGGAAGACUGCCCUAUGGGUUGUAAACCUCUUUUAUGCGGGGAUGAAGGUGUCCACGUGUGGAUGUUUGCAGUUACCGCCUGAAUACGGACAGGCUAAUUCCGUGCCAGUAGCCGCGGUAAUACGGAAGGUCAGGGGGUUACCCGGCUUGAUUGGGUUUAAGGGGAGCGUGGGCCGGUCUUUAAGCGUGUCGUGAAAUUUUGUGGCUCAACCAUGAGAGUGCGGUGCGAACUGGAGACCUAGAGUGCGCGGAAGGCAGGCGGAAUUCGUGGUGUAGCGGUGAAAUGCGUAGAUAUAACGAAGAACCCCGAAUGCGAAGGCAGCCUGCCGCAUCGUUACUGACGCUGAAGCUCGAAAGCGCGGGUAGCGAACAGGAUUAGAUACCCUUGUAGUC
rnacentral:rRNA from 1 species